GUGUCCCUCUCUGGUCCCUCUAUGUGUCCCCCUAUGGGUCAGUGUGUGGGUCAGUGUGUGGGUCCCUCUAUGGGUCACUGUGUGGGUCAAUGUGUGGGUCAGUGUGUGGGUCAGUGUGUGUCCCUCUAUGGGUCCCUCUAUGUGUCCCCCUAUGGGGCAAUGUGUGGGUCAAUGUGUGUCCCUCUAUGGGUCCCUCUAUGGGUCAGUGUGUGGGUCCCUCUAUGGGUCACUGUGUGGGUCAAUGUGUGUCCCUCUAUGGGUCAAUGUGUGUCCCUCUCUGGGUCCCCCUAUGGGUCCCUCUAUGUGUCCCCCUAUGGGGGCAAUGUGUGUCCCUCUAUGGGUCCCCCUAUGGGUCAAUGUGUGUCCCCCUACGGGCCCCCCUAUGGGUCAGUGUGUGUCCCUCUAUGGGUCCCUCUAUGGGUCCCUCUAUGGGUCAGUGUGUGGGUCAUUGUGUGGGUCAGUGUGUGGGUCAGUGUGUGUCCCUCUAUGGGUCCCUCUAUGUGUCCCCCUAUGGGGCAAUGUGUGUCCCUCUAUGGGUCCCCCUAUGGGUCAGUGUGUAGGUCAGUGUGUGGGGUCCCUCUAUGGGUCACUGUGUGGGUCAAUGUGUGUCCCUCUCUGGGUCCCCCUAUGGGUCCCUCUAUGGGUCCCCCUAUGGGUCAAUGUGUGUCCCCCUAUGGGUCCCCCUAUGGGUCCCCCUAUGGGUCAGUGUGUGGGUCAGCGUGUGGGUCAAUGUGUGGGUCAGUGUGUGGGUCAAUGUGUGUCCCUCUAUGUGUCCCCCUAUGGGUCAGUGUGUGGGUCAACGUGUGGGUCAGUGUGUGGGUCAAUGUGUGGGUCACUGCGCGGGGGCCGUCACUCACUGACCCCGGCCCCACGGUGACGCAGGCUUUGGGCCCCAGGCUGAGCACGCGGCCGUCGCAGCGCUGCAGCAGAU
rnacentral:lncRNA from 1 species